rnacentral:rRNA from 1 species
AGUGAACGCUGGCGGUAGGCCUAACACAUGCAAGUCGAACGGCAGCACAGUAAGAGCUUGCUCUUACGGGUGGCGAGUGGCGGACGGGUGAGGAAUACAUCGGAAUCUACUUUUUCGUGGGGGAUAACGUAGGGAAACUUACGCUAAUACCGCAUACGACCUACGGGUGAAAGCAGGGGAUCUUCGGACCUUGCGCGAUUGAAUGAGCCGAUGUCGGAUUAGCUAGUUGGCGGGGUAAAGGCCCACCAAGGCGACGAUCCGUAGCUGGUCUGAGAGGAUGAUCAGCCACACUGGAACGGAGACACGGUCCAGACUCCUACGGGAGGCAGCAGUGGGGAAUAUUGGACAAUGGGCGCAAGCCUGAUCCAGCCAUACCGCGUGGGUGAAGAAGGACUUCGGGUUGUAAAGCCCUUUUGUUGGGAAAGAAAAGCAGCAGGUUAAUACCCCGCUGUUCUGACGGUACCAAAAGAAUAAGCACCGGCUAACUUCGUG